rnacentral:rRNA from 1 species
GAACUUAAGCAUAUCAAUAAGCGGAGGAAAAGAAACUAACAAGGAUUCCCCUAGUAACGGCGAGUGAAGCGGGAACAGCUCAAAUUUGAAAUCUCAGCGCAAGCUGCGAAUUGUAGUUUAGAGAAACGUUUUCGGAGCCGGCAGCCAGUACAAGUUCUUUGGAACAAGGCAUCACAGAGGGUGAAAAUCCCGUCUUUGACUGGCUGCUUGGUUCCAUGUGAUACGUUUUCCAAGAGUCGGUUUGUUUGGGAAUGCAGACCAAAAUGGGUGGUAAAUACCAUCUAAAGCUAAAUAUUGGCGAGAGACCGAUAGCGAACAAGUACCGUGAGGGAAAGAUGAAAAGAACUUUGAAAAGAGAGUUAAACAGUGCGUGAAAUUGUCAAAAGGGAAACGUUUAAAACCAGUAUUGCGGGCAGAAACUCAGGUUCCAUUUAUGGUGCUGUAUUUUUCUGUCGGCGAGUCAACAUCAGUUUUGCUUGGAGUAAAACGCCAGGGGAAGGUAGCCUUCGGGUGUUAUAGCCUCUGGUAAUGCUCUGGGCGGGACUGAGGACUGCAGCGUUCUUUGGGUUUACCACACCAACGCUUAGGAUGUUGACGAAAUGGUUUUAAGCGACCCGUCUUGAAACACGGACCAAGGAGUCUAACAUAUAUGCGAGUAUUUGGGUGGCAAACCCUUAUGCGUAAUGAAAGUGAAAAGGUGGGAUCCUUUGCUGGUGCACCAUCGACCGCGCCAGAUUAUUGCUAUCUCGGCGUGAGUAUGAGCAUACAUGUUGGGACCCGAAA